GGAUAUUAUCCUAACUUGUAUUAUAGCUCCUAAAUUUUAAAGCUGUAUUGCUUAAUAAUUGUUGUCUUUGUUGGUGUUGAUUCUUAUUUUAAACUUGAUAUGCAUCAUUUAUGGGAUGAAUAGGUAUAUUUCCUGCACAAGUUUUGUACCUUAAGCAAGAUCUUACAGAUGAUCCAGCAGCUUCGGCUCUUUAGGGUUUUAAUGAAUGAAGGCAUUUUUGAUGUCAUCACCCAGGUUUUGCAAAGUCAAGAUAAGAAGUUGGUGCUAAUUGGGAAGGAAGAACAUUUCUUGGACUUCUGGUAUGCUUUGUAUGUGAAUGAGGUCACAUUUUUCUUAUGACAUAAAUAUAUAAAAUUACACAUAAGGCAUUUAUUAGACAUAUUAUCCUAUACCGGUCAAAGAAAUGAUAACAAAUUUAAGGGACAACAUGCAUUGCCAGUUUCAUGAGAUCCUUCACAGUCUAUUGAAUUCAUGUACAUUAUCUAGACCACAGGUACCUGUUAAUGAUAUUUUAUUUAAUUUCAAUUGUUUAACCGUAUUUGAUUGCU